AGCGACUUUUUUUGUUGAGAGAAAUUUAGUUUCACUUACUCACACUACACCACCAUUUCAGCCGUUACUGAAUCUUGGUCGUUCGUAGUUGAUUUUGAAUAUAAACGUCUUCCAUCCGUUUUAGUUCUUCAACCUCUUUUAAAGGUGUCGCGCGUUUUUCCCUUCAUAGCUUCCAUUCGGGUUGCAGCGAAAUUUCGAGACUGAGGCAGAUGCGUUAAGUUGAAGACUUGAAGCUCCCUUGCUCUCUCCUUGAUUUGCUCACAGAAACGAUUUUCUUCAUAUGGAUUGGCUAAUUUCUCAUAGAUUGAGGAAAAUGACUAUGGGUUCAUGAUAUUGCAGGUGAGACAAGUGUUUUGAAGAGGGUUCAUAUGUUAUCCCAGGUGAGAGAAGAAAGCUAUUACCCUUUUCCUUUUAUAAUGCAUGUCAAAGGAAGAUCACCGUAUUUUUCCUUUCUAAACUUUCUUCCUAUAUAUCUUUUCUAUCUAUUUCACUUUCUUCAAUUUGUUUCAGAACUUUUUUAGCUAAUUAAACCUGCUCGGUUUUAUUUAAGAAGAAAGUCAAUGUCAAUUCCCAGGAUUUUCAUGGGGUUCUUGGAGUUUGAUGUGUUCUCCAUACCAUUUAUAAGAUCGAUAGAGGAAAUGGAUUUCUGCACUAAUGUUACCGGUUCAUAUGGUUGUAUUUCUAGGUGCAAGAAAUAGAAAUUGGGGUUCUCCACUUGCAGUUGUUAUUUUCUUUUGUCCAUUCACCUUUUUUCCCCCUUCCCCUUCUUCCAGGUGUGAAACAACAUAGAUUGAUUUCUGAUUUAUUGUGCUUGGCUGAACAGAUAUGAAUGAUGUAAUAGAUGGAGAGUUGCUGGGUGGAUCAUAUCAUCCAUAUGCUUAGGGGGGUUUUCCUCACAUAUGCAGCUUCAUAUAGCUUUUCUCAAUCUGUCUGCACAUGCCCACAUUGUUUCGAAUCCAAUGCUUUCUUUUUCUUCAACUGUUGGUUUCGAAUCUGUUUUUCCUUUUGUUCAAUUGAACAAGUUUUUAACUUUUUUCAAACUAUUUUUUUAUUGUUUCUUACUUUCAAUUUUCGUUUUUUUUUUAAGUUUUUUGUCUGUUAUUUGCUUUUUAAGCUAGAAACUAAGUGAAUUUUCACGGUCUGCUAUUUUCUUACUUCAAGUUAUUUGAUAUUAUAUUAUAUCUCGCUAUUUUAUCUUUUUCUAAUGAUUACUAUAACACCUCUCCCAUUUUCCCUCAUUUCGCUUUGACAACAAUCGGACCCCAUUCACUAUGGGUGGAACUAGCAGAAGACCAUGGUGACGCUCAAUAUCGCUUUUGAGUUUAGCGUAACCAUAUCUUCUACCCAUUUCAUACUCGUCCAAAGGCGAUAACUUAUUCAAAGAUAAUGUGGAGCCUUAGUUUAUAACCGAUAUCCAACUCUAUUUGCCUC